CGGCCCGACCUGCAGCUGGCCGCCGUCUACGCCGUGCAGGUGCACGCGCACGCACACCGCUACCCCAAAGGAAUGCUCCUCCGGUGGUUCAUGUACCUGUACAACCUGGAGGUGUGCGAGGAGGACGCGUUCCUGCGGUGGCGCGAGGACGUGACGGACGCGUACCCCGGCAAGGGCGAGGCCCUCUUCCAGGUCAACACGUGGCUGACGUGGCUGCAGCAGCAGGAGUCGGAGGAGGAGGAGGCGGAGGACUAGGCCCGCGUCGGACACACAUUCGCACCGCUUUCCUUUUGCGCUCAUCUCAUAUAAAUAUAAUUAAGCCGAAUAGUAACAAUAGAGACGUUUGCUGCCGUCGGAGGAUACGCCCGAUGCGUCGCCGGCGACGCGCGUCUUCAGCCGAUCUUUGGGUUAUACUAAUAACAAUUGUUAGUAUUUCGAGAUAGUUUUUUGUAGGCCUUUUACUCGAUUUUGAUACUUUUUACAAAUGUAUACAAUGUAUAGUGUUCGUUUGUACGUAUGGCUGCACCCUGCCCCCCCUCACCUCCGCCGCCCGGCCGCCCGCGCCCGGUGACCUCCGAGUGCACACCGUAGUUUAAAUUGUAUAAAUAAAUGUGUAUGAAAAACUUAAAUCAAUUUCUAUAUUAUCAUGAUCAUUUUUAUUUUCAAUACUAAAUGGAUUUAGUGAAUAAAUAAACUGUAAGAAUGCUUAAAUUUCAUUGUAUUAACAGAGUUUAGAAUUUUGUAAACUAGAUAAUCGAAAAAAAGCCAAUUAUUUCCUUGGGCAUAAGAUAUGUAUGUUGAUUGAGUGAAUUGUAACAAAGUUGUGAAGUGAUGCACGAUAAGUAAUGUCGGUCAAUAUGUAUUGUAUCCUUGAUGGAAAUAAACUUCAGUGUAAUUUAUUA